UAUUGUUUAAUUUAUUGCUUGUCAGUCAUUCACAUUUAUUAAAAAUAGUCACUUUAUUAAAUAAUGUGAGAAACUCUAUGUUCUUUGCGAAUAGACCUGAAGAUGAAUUAUGAAAGGGUGUGACAAGUAUCAUACAGGAAGACGCAGAGGUAGAACAAGAAGAGUAGUGAAAAGAGAGACCUAAAUAAGGAACAAAUUAUUGGCAUGGGAAAAAUUCCGAUACAAUUUCCUGGUCUGAACACUUCUGUGUUUAGAGGAAAAGAAUUAAUUCAACAGCUAAAACUGCUUUUAAAUCUUGAAAGAAAGCAAAAACUUAUGGAAUUACCACAAAAUCAGACCAGACCAAUGCAAAUAAAAUUAUCGCCAUUGGAAUGUGGUUGGAGAAGUGUUACAAUGGAUGGCAGAAGCAUUGAAUCAGAUCUUAUUGGAAAAGAUACAUUUGAAAGUUUUGAAACCUGGAUUUUGGAAAACAAAACGAUAACUUGUAUGACCAGUAUGUA